rnacentral:lncRNA from 1 species
AUGAACUCUGAAGGAGGAAGCCACGAUGUCAGCUGUCUGUUCCCUUUGUCAUCACUGCUAGACACUAUUUGCUGAUUUAUUUGUUCAAUGCUGGUCUCCCACACUAGACCAUGAGCAGGAAGGAGAGGCAGCAUGCAACUGUGCUCGUUGUCUACACAGGGCCUAGCACUGGGCCUGGGCCAGGGCAGGCACCUGGGAGGUAAGGGACAAAGACAAGACUAGAAAUCAUCCCUCUGCCCACCUCAAGACAAAUGCAGAUCUGACUUCUUCUUCCUCUACUCUAUGUUUACUUUAUCUUAUGUAAAAUACAAGAUUUACUGAGCAGGAGCCGAAUGCA